rnacentral:rRNA from 1 species
UACGAAGGGGGCUAGCGUUGCUCGGAAUCACUGGGCGUAAAGGGCGCGUAGGCGGCGUUUUUAAGUCGGGGGUGAAAGCCUGUGGCUCAACCACAGAAUGGCCUUCGAUACUGGGACGCUUGAGUAUGGUAGAGGUUGGUGGAACUGCGAGUGUAGAGGUGAAAUUCGUAGAUAUUCGCAAGAACACCGGUGGCGAAGGCGGCCAACUGGACCAUUACUGACGCUGAGGCGCGAAAGCGUGGGGAGCGAACAGG